AGAGUUUGAUCCUGGCUCAGGAUGAACGCUGGCGGCGUGCCUAACACAUGCAAGUCGAACGAAGCUUGACGGAUGAUUUCUUCGGAAUGAAACCAGAUAUGACUUAGUGGCGGACGGGUGAGUAACACGUGAGCAACCUGCCUUUCAGAGGGGGAUAACGGCUGGAAACGGUCGCUAAUACCGCAUGAUGUGUUCGGAUGGCAUCAUCUGAACAUCAAAGAUUUAUCGCUGAAAGAUGGGCUCGCGUCUGAUUAGAUAGUUGGUGGGGUAACGGCCUACCAAGUCUACGAUCAGUAGCCGGACUGAGAGGUUGAACGGCCACAUUGGGACUGAGAUACGGCCCAGACUCCUACGGGAGGCAGCAGUGGGGAAUAUUGCACAAUGGGGGAAACCCUGAUGCAGCAACGCCGCGUGAAGGAUGACGGUUUUCGGAUUGUAAACUUCUUUUCUUAGUGACGAAGAAAGUGACGGUAGCUAAGGAAUAAGCAUCGGCUAACUACGUGCCAGCAGCCGCGGUAAUACGUAGGAUGCAAGCGUUAUCCGGAUUUACUGGGUGUAAAGGGAGCGCAGGCGGGACUGCAAGUUGGAUGUGAAAUACCGUGGCUUAACCACGGAACUGCAUCCAAAACUGUAGUUCUUGAGUGAAGUAGAGGCAAGCGGAAUUCCGAGUGUAGCGGUGAAAUGCGUAGAUAUUCGGAGGAACACCAGUGGCGAAGGCGGCUUGCUGGGCUUUAACUGACGCUGAGGCUCGAAAGUGUGGGGAGCAAACAGGAUUAGAUACCCUGGUAGUCCACACUGUAAACGAUGAUUACUAGGU
rnacentral:rRNA from 1 species